UUCAAUGUCUACUUAACAUAUAUAGUUUAUGUAACACAAAAAUAUGAGUUACAAAGUGAACUUAAGUGUAUGCAUAAAUACAACGAAAGAAAAUAAGUAAUGACAACUACUAGUACAAUUAUGUUAAAAUUAAGUAAAUAUAGCAUAAAAUUUUAAGUAUUUGACUGUGAGCCAGUGAUAUGCUGUUUCCUGCCAAGGAGCCAUUUUGUGAAGCACAUGUGAAGACGGUGAGAAGAGACCAGCCCUGUGGAACAACGUAAAGGAGUUGUAAAUCUAUGCUUAACUGUCUGCAUCUCUGAGAAUAUCAUCAAGCACCAUCAGAUACUCAUGAGAAUAAGGAGAAACUGGAACUGCUCACACUUAAAAUCAUCAUGAAAGGUGGCUCAACAGAUGAUCCAUUACAGACUGGGAUAGUGCUGGAAGGCAUAGAGGUGAUGAUGGGAUUGGCAGGUGUUGCAAAGGCUUGUGUUUUUCUGCUUGGCCUAAUUUAUGCAAUUAAUCUGAGUUACCCCAAAGAGAUCAAUGUGCAAUGUUUGUCUGCAACUGUUCGAUUAAAUUCUUGAUUUAUUCUUAGGAUGUUUGUCGCGUGUUCCAAAAGUAAAUGUUAGAAAAAUUGUUGCAAAGGGUGAAAAAAAAUCUAUUGCAAACUUAAUCUCUGUGUUACAAACAAAACAUAAAAGAAAGAAAGAAAAUUAUUUUUUUGUCUAGUUUAAUUGGGAAUUUUGUACAAAAGUAAAUGUUUGAAAAAUGUAAACCCUUUAAGAAGUGUUGCAAAGGGUGAAAAAUCAAGAAAAUAACAUGUUGGAAAUUAAGCUACAUUUGUAUAUUUGUCACAUUUUGUUGUAAAUUCAUGAUGUGUGGUUUUAGGCUUCACCUUCACCGCAGCCUAUCAAAAAAAUAAACUGAAAUGCUUUA